rnacentral:rRNA from 1 species
AGGACGAACGCUGGCGGCGUGCUUAACACAUGCAAGUCGAGCGGAAAGGCCCUUCGGGGUACUCGAGCGGCGAACGGGUGAGUAACACGUGAGUAAUCUGCCCAUCGCUUCAGGAUAGCCAUCGGAAACGGUGAUUAAUACUGGAUAUGACAUUCCUUCGCAUGUUGGGGUGUGGAAAGUUUUUUCGGCGGUGGAUGUGCUCGCGGCCUAUCAGCUUGUUGGUGGGGUAAUGGCCUACCAAGGCUUUGACGGGUAGCCGGCCUGAGAGGGUGACCGGCCACACUGGGGCUGAGACACGGCCCAGACUCCUACGGGAGGCAGCAGUGGGGAAUAUUGGACAAUGGGCGGAAGCCUGAUCCAGCAACGCCGCGUGAGGGAUGACGGCCUCGGUUGGUAAACCUAC